UACUGGUAAGAGCAGAAUGUUUCUUGCUCUAUUUGAUUUUUAGGCAUGUUUUCCUAACUCAAUGAAAUCAUGCAUUUGAUUUAGCCACUAACGAGAAUGGAAAGAAGGAAGAGGAAUAGAGAAGAGAAGAGGCCUCUGAAGGAUCUCUUAGUACCUGAGGAGAAAGAGGUGGAUAAGAGGGAAGACGGAGAGGGGGAUACGAACGAGGACGAGAAAGAUUAUGAGAAGACAGAGACCGGGGAGAAAUAUGAUGGGAAUAUCGUGGAGAAACCAGAUAUAUCUGUAAGCGCAAAAUUUCUAGAAUGAUUUCAUGUAUUGUUGGAAAAUGCUGCCCCUCAAAACCUGUUUCUCGCAGGGCAUUCGUGGCAACUUGAAUAUAAGGCCUAUUGUUUUUUUGGGACGGCCAACCCAUGUUAUCCAUCAGAUAAAUGAUGGCCCGUGUGCCCUUAUUGCAGUCUGCAAGUGAAAUUGGCUUUACUUUCAAUUUUUGUAUUUCAUUUCCUCAUGUUUUGUAUUUAUUCUUUUUUUUGCACAGGUAAUCUUCUACUGCUCCAGGGGAGCAUCUUUUUUGAACCACAUGAAACUGUGGUGUCAAUGGAAUAUCUACUUAACUUUGUCUUUUCUUUACUUGAAGAUAGUGAGAAAAUGAAGGU
rnacentral:lncRNA from 1 species